rnacentral:misc_RNA from 1 species
GCGGAGGAAAAGAAACCAACAGGGAUUGCCCCAGUAACGGCGAGUGAAGCGGCAAAAGCUCAAAUUUGAAAUCUGGCUCCUUUCGGGGUCCGAGUUGUAAUUUGAAGAGGAUGCUUUGGGUGCGUCCGCGGCGUAAGUCCCUUGGAACAGGGCGUCAUAGAGGGUGAGAAUCCCGUCUUGAGUCGCCGGCGCGCGCGCGUUUAAAGCUCCUUCGACGAGUCGAGUUGUUUGGGAAUGCAGCUCUAAGUGGGUGGUAGAUUUCAUCUAAAGCUAAAUAUUGGCCGGAGACCGAUAGCGAACAAGUAGAGUGAUCGAAAGGUUAAAAGCACCUUGAAAAGGGAGUUAAAUAGCACGUGAAAUUGUUGAAAGGGAAGCGCUUGCAGCCAGACUCGGGUUCGGAGGCUCAGCGGGUAUUGUUAUGCCCGUGCACUCCUCCGCACCCGGGCCAGCAUCAGUUUUGGCGGCCGGUCAAAGGCCCCCGGAAUGUGUCGUCCUCCGGGACGUCUUAUAGCCGGGGGUGCAAUGCGGCCAGCCGGGACUGAGGAACGCGCUUCGGCACGGAUGCUGGCGUAAUGGCUGUAAGCGGCCCGUCUUGAAACACGGACCAAGGAGUCUAACAUCCACGCGAGUGUUCGGGUGUCAAACCCGUACGCGCAGUGAAAGCGAACGGAGGUGAGAGCCCCUUCGGGGGCGCAUCAUCGACCGAUCCUGAAGUCUUCGGAUGGAUUUGAGUAAGAGCGUGGCUGUUGGGACCCGAAAGAUGGUGAACUAUGCCUGAAUAGGGUGAAGCCAGGAGAAAUUCUGGUGGAGGCUCGCAGCGGUUCUGACGUGCAAAUCGAUCGUCAAAUUUGGGUAUAGGGGCGAAAGACUA